rnacentral:rRNA from 1 species
UGGGGAAUAUUGGACAAUGGGCGAAAGCCUGAUCCAGCCAUGCCGCGUGUGUGAAGAAGGUCUUCGGAUUGUAAAGCACUUUAAGUUGGGAGGAAGGGCAGUAAGCGAAUACCUUGCUGUUUUGACGUUACCGACAGAAUAAGCACCGGCUAACUCUGUGCCAGCAGCCGCGGUAAUACAGAGGGUGCAAGCGUUAAUCGGAAUUACUGGGCGUAAAGCGCGCGUAGGUGGUUCGUUAAGUUGAAUGUGAAAGCCCCGGGCUCAACCUGGGAACUGCAUCCAAAACUGGCGAGCUAGAGUAGGGCAGAGGGUGGUGGAAUUUCCUGUGGAGCGGUGAAAUGCGUAGAUAUAGGAAGGAACACCAGUGGCGAAGGCGACCACCUGGGAUCAUACUGACACUGAGGUGCGAAAGCGUGGGGAGCAAACAGG